UACGUAGGGUGCAAGCGUUAAUCGGAAUUACUGGGCGUAAAGAGCGCGCAGGCGGUCGUUCAAGUCGCGUGUGAAAGCCCCCGGCUCAACUGGGGAGGGUCACGCGAUACUGAUCGACUCGAAGGCAGGAGAGGGUAGUGGAAUUCCCGGUGUAGUGGUGAAAAUGCGUAGAUAUCGGGAGAACACCAGUGGCGAAGGCGAGCUACCUG
rnacentral:rRNA from 1 species